ACCCAAGUUAAGCAAAAUUCAAUAAUUUGACGAUAUAAAAAUUUAAUAAUAUGGCACAAAUAAAUGCACAAAUUGCAGUUAUCAUUUAUAAAGGACACAGAACCAACUCUAACACAACAAAAGGCAGAGCAUCUGAUUAGAAGCCUUCAUUUUCCCCAUUAAGCUAGGUUCAUAGGCAAGAUCAUCUACAUCAAUAAACGUAAAUAUGACCACCGUAGACCUGUAAAUACUGAGAAAUCAAUCCCUCCAUUAGAAUCAAACUACUUAAUUUUCUAAUAUAUACACCAACUUUUGACUUUUAUUACAUGCAUUAUGAAAAGCAUCCGGUGGACAAAAUAAAGCACUGAUGUCAAAAGAGUGACUCAAUCUUAACCAAAUCUCAAGCGUUGAUUUUUUAAUCUUAAAAGGAGAAUCUCACACAAUAAUUCUGUAAGAAAUUAAAUGACAUCCAAAAUUUAAAAUUAUGGAUAAAAAAUAGACAUGUUCCAACUGGGCAAGAAUAAAAUCAUGGAGAACAAAUGCAAUGGCAUAUUUAUGCCAAAUGUAGGCAAUAGCCUCAUCAAGGAACUAGCAAUCUCUGUGAAUUUAUGCUACUAACAUAAUGAAAUAGGUGUACUUACUGACCAUUUGCACAGAUCAAAGCUAUUUCACUGUUGUAUAAGUUGCUCAUGUUUCAGAAAAUAUGAUGAUCCACUAAACACAUACUUUUAUUUUUUAUUUCCCACACACCUGCAUGUAUUUGGGCGCAAAAUUGUGUCAGCGAACGAAUUUUCUCCAACCUUUUCCUUUUCCAAUUGAAUGAUUACUUUUUAAACCGAAUGAAUCUCAAAUGAGGUCUGAAGCACAAGGCUUAUCUUGUUGGAGCUCGGUAAACCCAUUAUAGUUAAUGCAUUCAGAUAUACAUGAACAAGAAAUACCGAGCAAACAUGCGACAGUAUCCUUUGGUCAAAAUCAUACAUAUACAUCAAGAAUGAAUGAUUCACCAAUUAAAUGGUGUGUCAUGUCAUCGGUGCUUAAUAUAAGCUAAACACCGAUGUUUAGGAGAUCAUUUCCGAUAUAUACAUUAUGGGCAUUAAUGAGAGAUGAAAUGUAGCGUCAAUGGCCAAUAUGAAAAGUGAAAACACAUCAUACAUAUACAAGUAUGAAUAUAUACACAAUUCACGAAUUACAGGCCAUUAAACACAAGCUAAUAUAGGUGACUUACUGACCAUUCACACAUCGAAUUGUUUAAUGUGACUGGCUAAUUGAUCACCAAUAAUUACCAAUAAAACACCCAUAAGUAAUGUAAAAUCCAGCAUGUUUAACAUAAAUGUUAGAGCUUACAUGGUUUGCUAAUCGGUCACAAGAAAAUACUUAAAUGGGGAUAAAUGGAAAUUAAGCAAGUUGCAACCUCUGAACAAGUGAUAAUUACAGAAACAAAUUAACCAAUGCAUAAAACAAGUAAACAGAUUUGGAUAUAUGGCCCAAAUUAGCAAGGUAUGAUCUUUGAAAUGUACAAACUCUGNCCCAAAAAUAAUACGUGAGACGUUGAAUUUCCUUCUUUCAGGUUCGAAUGCAACGCCAUUUUCAUCUUCUUCAUAGAGAAUUCUUCGUCAACAUAGUCAGGAGACCUCUUCUCACUUUUAUCAACAUUGGUUGAGGUUUUAAACACUUCUUUGACAGCUGGGGGGGGGUCUUGUUCCUUAUAUUCUGACAAAAUGGUUAUAGAUCCUGUAAUUCGACGUUAAGGAGAACGUGCACUUCCAUUUUCGUCAUCACUAUCUCCACAGAUGCCGAAGCUUCCCCUCCAUUAAUACCCUCUUUGGAAGCCAGCGACAACUUCCGUCAAGGGGUAGCCAACUUACGACAUUCAACUUCCGACCGUGGGAUAUAGACGGAGCCCAUGGGUAUGUGAGGUAAUGAGAUCGAUCUGUGUAGUAAAUUAACCCCUUUUCUUGAUUAAUUGAACUGGGGAUCUUGGAUUUGCAUGGAUGGUGGUGUUUAGUUUUCUGCAAGAUGGAGAGAGAGGAAUAUGAAAUGGAUUUUUUGGGAAAGUGCAAGUUAUUGGGAGAAUUGAAUUGACCGUAAUUGAUGCUUUCCAACUUAAUACACCUGCUUAUUUGUUCUCCUAUUCAGUUUUCCAAAAUACUGUAUAAAAAGUAAUAUAAUUAGAAUAAGAAUACAGUGGCAUGUAGAAUAGACAAUAAUAUAAAUUAAACCUAAAAUUUUCCCUUCAUAACUCAAACGCACAAAGCCACAUAUCACUCGGCAGUUCAAACCUAAAAUCAAGCAAUUCUAUCCAAUUCCAAUUUCCAAACUUUACUUUCCGCUGCCAGCACUCAAGCUAAGCCACCGUAGAAUCACCGACGUUUAGCCAUCGACAACUGCAGCACUACACCACCACUGUAUCACUGAUAACUAAUUCCACUCGUGAUGGCGGGACAUGAGUGGUGAGCCUCCUGCCUCUCUUCAUUUCUCUUUUUUUUUUUUUUUUUGGUUUCUGUUCGUCUAGUUCGUUUAUUGAUUUAUUAUUUAUCAAAUUAUGAGUUAUCAGUUAAAAUAAUCAGUUAUGAUUUAUGAAUUUAUGUUUUAUGAGUAUUUACUGUUAGUUUGUGACUUCAUGAGUCACGAACCUCUAAUAGUAUUUACGAAAAUUGGAGGCUUCAUGAGUUUGAGGAUAUGCGAUAUCAUAUAUGUGGACUAUGAAAUUCGUGAAAAUUGAGGAUUUUGUGAAAAUUAGGGAUUUUGGAAAUAAAAACUCUUAGUAAUUGUUGACUUAUGGAAUCUACUAGUAUUUGUGAAAUUUGGAAAUGGAAACUUGAUGAUUGUUAAUAUGUGAUUUACGUUUUCCUGCAUUUAUAUAUUAAUUAAAAUUUUUUAAUAUUAUUUAAUAAAAUAUUAAUAAACGAUCUUGUUAAUGCAUCAGUCGACGGUUACCAACUGCCCUAGUUGGCUCCAACUCCUAGAUCCACCACUGACCAAGACAAAAUAGUGAAGAGAAAGGUAACGUUUACUUUGUAAAGGAAAUCUAGUCCCCGUUUGAUCCCCAUUUUUGGGUAAAAUAUGUUAUAGAAUAGUGAUUUUUUGAAUAAUAUGUGGUUAAAAAGCAAGAAAAAUGUUUAAAAUACGCGUAUAGUUAUUUUAUGGGAGAAUGUAUAGUUGAAAAUGAGAUUUGAAAAAAUAAAUUCUUGAAAAAAUGGGGCUCAAAUAGGGCAAUCAUAAUUCGUAUUCCUGAAAUCUAAUGUUGUAGUUCCUCUUAUCCACUUUUUUGUUUUCCUCCGGCUUGUUCAUUAGUAU
rnacentral:lncRNA from 1 species